rnacentral:rRNA from 1 species
UACGUAGGGUGCGAGCGUUGUCCGGAAUUACUGGGCGUAAAGGGCGCGUAGGCGGUUUGUACAGUCAGACGUGAAAUUCCUGGGGCUCAACCUGGGGGGCUGCGUUUGAUACGUAUGGACUUGAGUUCGGAAGAGGGUCGUGGAAUUCCCAGUGUAGAGGUGAAAUUCGUAGAUAUUGGGGAAGAACACCGGUGGCGAAGGCGGCUCUCUGGACCGUAACUGACGCUGAGGCGCGAAAGCGUGGGGAGCAAACAGG